rnacentral:rRNA from 1 species
UACGAAGGGGGCUAGCGUUGCUCGGAAUCACUGGGCGUAAAGGGUGCGUAGGCGGGUCUUUAAGUCAGGGGUGAAAUCCUGGAGCUCAACUCCAGAACUGCCUUUGAUACUGAGGAUCUUGAGUUCGGGAGAGGUGAGUGAAACUGCGAGUGUAGAGGUGAAAUUCAUAGAUAUUCGCAAGAACACCAGUGGCGAAGGCGGCUCACUGGCCCGAUACUGACGCUGAGGCACGAAAGCGUGGGGAGCAAACAGG